CCCAAGGGUGUCCUCCAGUAUCCCGACAGGCACCAAAGCUCGUUCCCUUAACGUAAACCCGAACAGCAACUAGACGUCAGCUCGGGUGUUCUGGGUAUUGUAGUCGCCGAUGGCAAGAAUUGCGGAGUGAGCGGUGUGUCCCCGUAAUGUGAUUGAAGAGAGCAUAUGGCCUGAAAUUUAGAUGGGGAGUUAAACGAUGGGUUCUUUUGAAGACCCUGACCUAGAAUUACACAUUGACUUUGGUUCUUUGUGGGAAUGGGACCCACUCUUGGAGCUUCAUGACUGGCUGUUUUUCAAUUAUGCCAAGGACACGGCCUAGAAGACUAGUGCGCCUUCAGGGUUCUGGAUUUUUGUUGCUCUGGAGGUGGCAAACUCAAGAUCAGUGACACCGCAAAAAACUGGUGUGUUGUGGGAGUACAUAAAGGAUUGGCUGUUGGCUGUGUCCCCAAAGACCCAAGAUCUUCGGGCAUAGAGCUCGGAAAAAGUGAUACAACAGACAUUUAACAGCAUAAAUCGGCGAGUUGUUUUCUUAAGUCUCCCCUCACUGUGAAACGGGGACACCUCAUUUAUCCUUAUUAAGGAGAGAGAGCCUGUGGAAUCCCUAAUACUGGAUGGACGAGUAGUUUUUGGAGUACUGCAAUUCCAUACACCAGUGGUCCCCACCCACCGGGCCGCAAAGCAUGUGCUAACGGGCUGCGAGGAAACGUUAUGAUUUGGCGGUAUGAAGCGAUAUGAGUCAGCCGCACCUUUCCUCAUUCCUCAUCAUCAUGCCCACUGUUGAACUUGAACGCACGCGAGGUCAUCAGUUGGUCAUUAACCUACAACUACUUGAUGAAUAAAAAACAAACGUCGCUUGAGAGUUUUUUUGGAAGAGGUAGUAGGGGACAUAACAGGCCUAAUGAUGAUGAUAACGCUUGACAGUUGAGGUUGAGACUGCAAAAAAAAAUAAAGCUUCCUUCAAUAGAAAAUGCGACGAGUCGUACAUAAAAUAUGGCUUUAAUGCGAUCAGUGACUCGCACACUCCAAGCCCCCUACGUGUGAUAUGUGGAGACAAGCCAUCUAAUAAGGCAAUAAAACCCUCAAAACUUCUUCGAUACCUUGAGUCCAAGCACCCUGCACUUAAAGACAAACCCGUUGAGAUUUUUGAGCGGAAAAAACGGGUCAGAAGCAAGUGCUGAGAGCCACCACUUCCACAAACACUGCUGCUCUGAGAGCAUCGUACUUAGUGGCUAGCCGUAUUGCUAAAGCUAAGAAGCCUUUCAUCAUUUGUGAAAAAUUGAUUCUAUCUGCUGACAAGGACAUGUGCCGUGAACUGUUGGGAGAAGCUGCAGCUAACAAGAUGGCACAGGUUUCUCUUUCAGCUACCAGUGUUUCAAGUAGAAUCGAUGACAUAGCGGAGGACAUCAAAGCACAGCUGUUGGAAUGGCUUAACGAGUCACCAUGGUAUGCUAUCUAGGUCGACAAAUCUACCAAUGUCUACAACAAGGCAAUACUGCCGGUUUAUGUGCGAUAUAUAUUUCAAGAUGAUGUGCAUGAGGAUAUGUUGUGUGCACUGCCGCUGCCAACUAACACAACUGGGACAGAACUAUUCAAGUCUUUGAAUGACUAAGUGUCAGGCACACACAGUUGGGGCUGCAGCUAUGACUGGACGGCUGUCUGGUUUCACUACCCGAGUCAAAGAGGUUGCUCCUGAAUGCCAGUCUACACACUGUGUCAUACACAGGGAAAUGCUGGCUAGCCAAAAAUAUCACCUGAUCUUAACAGUGUAUGAGUGACAUUGAUGAAGUUAUCAAUCACAGCAAAGCAAAAGCCCUUAACUCACGUGAGUUUGAGCAGCUUUGCGAGGAAAUGGAUGCAAAGCACAAAUGCCUUCUCUUACACACUGAAGUCAGGUGGCUAUUGAGGGGGAGAGCCCUGGCCAGGGUUUUUGAGUUAAGAGAGCCGCUAGAGAUUUCUUUCAGGAAAAAAGUCACCACUGGCAGCACACUUAAGUGAUGAGGAGUAGAUAGCAAAACUCACUUACAUGUGGGAUAUCUUCAACCUGCUCAAUGAACUCAAUUUGUCACUUCAGGGGAGAAUGACAACUGUCUUCAAGUUGGCAGAUAAAGUGCUGCUUUCAAAGCCAAACUGGAACUGUGGGGACAGCGGGUGGACAGGGGCACAUUUGACAUGAUUGGGAUUUUGGGAGAGACUGAGGUUGCACCGUCCUUCUCACAACUGGUGAUCACCUAUCUUCGCUGUUGACAGAAGUUGAGCGUUACUUCCCAACCGCAAAUGACCCAAGGCGUAUAAAGGAAUGGGUCCGUGAUCCAUUUGUGAAUGUCCCCAGUGAAUCAUCCAUGUCAGCACGGGAAGAAGAUCAACUCCUCCAGCUUGCAAAUGACAGUAGGCUGAAAAGUAUGUUUGACAUAACAUCUCUGCUGGUAUUCUGGAUCAAAGUCAAGGCUGAAUAUCCUGAGAUAGCCACAAAAACACUAAAAACAUUGCUUCCAUUUCCAACAUCAUAUCUCUGUGAAGCGGGGUUUUCUGCAAUGAAUGCAACGAAAACUAAAUUGCGGAAUAGACUGGACAUAAGGAGCCCCCUUUGAGUAUCGCUGUCUCCCAUCACCCCUCGAUGGGACCAUCUUGUUGAAGGGAAACAAGCCCAGGGCUCCUGCUCAUUCAGCGAUAUUGGUGUGUUGCAAUGAUUUUAUAUACUCAUACGAGGAAAAUUUGUGCUGUGUGUUUAAUAUCCAAACGUUAUUUAACAUGAUGCUAUUGACCUAUAAGUAACAUAAUUGACUUACCACUAUAUUCACGUGAGGAAAAUAUGCGGUGUGUUUAAUAUUGAAUUCAAGUCAAGUCAACUUUUUUUGUCAUUUUGACCAUAACUGCUGGUACAGUGCAUAGUAAAAACGUUUUUCAGGACUAUGUUGUUAUAUGACACAGUACAAAAAACUAGACCAAACUACGUAAUAAAAAAACACAACACAGAGAAAGCUACACUAGACUACAGACCUACUCUGGACUGGAUUAAUUAGAUAAACCCUUUUAGAAACAAACUUGAGUGUAUUAGCCACUUAUAAGUGACUUAUCACCUAUAUUCCGGUCGUGAUUAACAUCCCCUUCCCCACCCUCGUCAGCCGGUCUGCAAGAAUAUUGUCAAUAUUAAACCGGUACGUGAUGCAAAAAAGGUUGGCGAUCCCUGCCAUACACACUUUCCCUCUGUCACACUUGAUAGGCCCUAUUCUUUCAUGUCUUAUCCCCUUGCUCUUCACAUACUUAUAGAAUGCCUUGGGGUUUUCCUUAAUCCUGCCCACCAAGGCCUUCUCAUGGCCCCUUCUGGCUCUCCUAAUUAUCUCCUUAAGCUCCUUUCUAUUAGCCUUGUAAUCUUCUAGAUCUCUAACAUUACCUAGCUCCCUGAACCUUUAGUAAGCUUUUCUUUUCUUCUUGACUAGAUUUAUUACAGCCUUUGUGCACCACAGUUCCUGUACCCAACCAUAACUUCCCUGUCUCAUUGGAAUGUACUUAUACAGAACUCCACACAAAUAUCCCCUGAAUAUUUGCCACAUUUCUUCCGUAUUUUUCCCUAAGAACAUCUGUUUCCAAUUUAAGCCUUCAAUUUCCUGCCUGAUAGCCUCAUAAUCCCCCUUACUCCAUUUUAACACUUUUCUAACUUGUCUGUUCCUAUCUCUCUCCAAUGCUAUUGUAAAGGAUAUAGAAUUAUGAUCACUAUCUCCAAAAUGCUCUCCCACUGAGAGAUGCCUGAUAAUCCUUUUGAUGCAAAUAUGUAGUAACUUCUACUUUGAAAAGGACCUCUUGACAACUUCGUGCCCAAAAGGAACAACUUUAUCUAGGACGGUAAAACAAUAUUCUCAUACAGAAGUUUUCACUAAUGCGCACCGGGCAGAAAAGAUGGGAAGGAAAACCCCGCAACCCUGGAAACAAUUUCUCUUUACAGUUUCUGUAGUGGGAGUAUUGCUAUAUUACCACGAUCCUAAUUGGUAUUAACUUAUCUUUAUAAUGCUCACAUUACAACCCUUCUCCCCCUUAAAAUUCCAACAUUCCCCAAAUGUACCAGAAACGGGAAACAAGAACAGUGGUGUCAUUAGCUUGUGAACCCCUGAAACUUACACUAGUGUCUUAGUAAUAGUUUACCAAUACCAAGUAAAGUUCAGGAGCUGAAAUCGGGGUUGAAGGCCCAGCAAACAUGCUGCUCAGAGGACGUGGAUUGACAAGUGUUAAAGGACUUUCACUCUGUGAAUAUUUUUCACUACAGUUUGAUGAAUCCCUGGAUGUAAUGCAAACAGCUCAGCUUGUUGUAUUUGUCUGCAUGGCUUUCCAGGAUUUUACAAAAAAGGACUUCCUCACUCUAUUGCACUUAAAGGAGAGAACAAGAGGUGAGGAUAUUUACAAAGAGUUUAAAAAAAAAUGUCCAUGAAAAUGACAUCCCCAUUCAUAAACUGAUGGCAAUUACUACCCAGCAAUGCACGAUGUGUGCGUUGCUUUUAUAGCACAGUGCUGUAAUGACCCUGAUUUUCCCAACUUCCUGGAUUAUCACUGUGUGAUUCAUCAGCAGGCCUUGUCUGGGAAGGUUGUGGACUUCUCUCAUGUACUGACACUGGUGGUCAAACUGAUAACUUGAUGCCACUAUGGCCUGUUUGAUAUGCCAGUUACAGUGUUUUCUUGGUUAAAUUAAUUUGAAAGUUUGACAAAAGCAUUUUAUGUAAUUAAAAUAAAAUUAGCCCAAAUAAAGGGCCUCAAGUUGGAAGUACAAUCUGAGCUGGGUUUUUUUUCUGAAUGAUUUAGUAAGUCGAUCUUGCCUUUCAUUAAGGCCGAGGUAGGGGAUCUUGGGCUUAAAAAAGGUUGGUGACCACUACUCUAGGGAGAUGCCAAUCGAUAUUUGGGAAAUUAAAAUCUCCCAUCACAACAACUUUAUUAUUACUACACUUUUCCAGGAUCUGUUGCCUUACCUGCUCCUCGAUAUCCCUGUUACUAUUGGGCGGCCUAUAAAAAACACCCAGUAAAGUUAUUGACCCCUUCCUGUUCCUAACCUCCACCCACAGAGACUCCGUAGACAAACCCUCUAGGGCGUCCACCUUUCCUGCAGCCGUGACACUAUCUCUGAUCAACAGUGCCAGGCCCCACCUCUUUUGCUUCCCCCCGUCCUUUCUGAAACAUCUAAGACCCAGCACUUGAAGUAACCAUUCCUGUCCCUGAGCCAUCCAAGUCUCUGUAAUGGCCACCACAUCAUAUCUCCAAAUACCGAUCCAUGCUCUAAGCUCGUCCGCUUUGUUCACAACACUCCUUGCAUUAAAAUAGGUACAUUUCAAACCUUCGGUCUGAGCGCAUCCCUUC